rnacentral:rRNA from 1 species
AUGGCGCCGUCCGACCCGAAAACCACGACCGAGGCGGAGGUCCACCCCAACGCCCACCUAUGGGCGCAGGCCACGGCCAUCCAGAGCGUCCGCUCUCUCGUCCCAGUCAUCCUCGACUUCAAGGUGCCAUCCUUCCCCAAGUGGCGCUGCUUCUUCAACAUCGCUGUGACGACCUACGCCCUCGAGGACCACCUCACCACGGAGACGGCCCCGUCCGAUCCCACAUGGCUUCGCCUCGACGCUACCGUGCUACGCUGGCUGUACGGCUCCAUGGCGCUGGACAUCGUCGAUCUCGUCAUGAAGGCCGACGCCACCGCCUACACGGUCUGGACCGCCGUCGACGCGCUCUUCAACGACAACAAGAAGACGCGCGAGAUCUACCUCGCUGAGGAGUUCCGCAGCAUCAAGCAGGGUGACCGGUCUGUCACCGAGUAUCUCCAUCUGCAAAAGACGGCGGCCGACGCCCUCGCCGAGGUCGGCUCUCCCGUCUCCGACACCGACCUCGUCACCAACAUCAUCAAGGGCCUUCACGAGCGCUUCGACAGCGUGGCUGACAUCGCCCCGCUCCUGACGCCGUUCCCGACCUUCCUCAACUUUCGGAACAUGCUCCUCCUCCACGAGAUGAAGGCGGCACGUCGUUCCACCACCAACUCCUCCGCCUCUGCCUUCUACUCCGCCAAGGGCAACCCUGGACACGCUGGUGGCUCGCAGGGUGCAGCCGGCGGCCAGCCAUGGAGGCCACCCGCAAACCCUAAUCAUGGCGCCUCGGGUUACGGCAAGAACAAGGGCAAAAAGCCCAAUGGUGGCUACGGCUCGAAGCCGUCCGGUGGCUCCGGCAACGCCGGCAACCUCAUGCCGACGCCUUACAACCCCUGGACUGGAGCUAUCCAGAUGUGGCCCAUGCAGCAGCCCGGCAGCGGCAUCCUCGGGCCUCGCCCUGGCGCACCUCGCGCUCAUGCCUACAUGGCAGCGCCUCCGGCCACGCCGACGUCCCUCUACCACGACUACGGUGUAGCCCAUGGCCAGGCGUACCAGUCUGGCGGCGCUCCCUACGGUGCAGCUUCCUAUGGUGCAGCUCCCGCGCCUCGAGCACCUACGCCGACAUGGGACCCAUCUGCUCUUGCGCAGCAAUUCAACACCAUGACGCUGCAACCCCCUCCUCACGAGUGGAUCAUGGACACAGGCGCCACGGCUCACCUCUCGUCUGACCCUGGACCUUCCCACCCGGCGCGAGAUUCUUCGGUGCAAUAG